GGCAAUUGUUCCAGCUCUCACUCAGCUAGAGCUGCCACGCAUUCUACAUGGCAAGGCUGCGUCCUGAAUCAGAAGUCGGGCUGGGAGCUGCCGUGCUGCCGCUCCCUUUCUGCACCCCAUUAUACACGUCGGCUGCGUGAGGGACACCUGGAACUUAUCACAGACUGCAAUUAGACGUCUGCGAACCAACUGCGCUGCAUCAGCCCCACUUCCAAAACUUCUCACCAGUGCUGCCGGCUUCACGCAAGGUCUUUCCAAGGAACACCGAAUGUUUCAUCUAUUGACAUGUAAGAUCUCAGGAACCAACAACUUGUUGUGAGUAAGGACAUGAGAAAUGGGAGAAGCAAAAAUUGCAUUUUUUAAGAAAAGAACCACCUGUUUUCAGUGGAAACACCAUAACCUUUUUGAGAUACUUAAACCCCUCUUAAUGAAUAUUUACAACUGCUC
rnacentral:lncRNA from 1 species